GAUGAAGAACGUAGCGAAAUGCGAUAAGUAAUGCGAAUUGCAGAUUUCAGUGAGUCAUCGAAUCUUUGAACGCACAUUGCGCCCGCCAGUAUUCUGGCGGGCAUGCCUGUUCGAGCGUCAUUUCAACCAUCAAGCCCCCGGGCUUGCGUUGGGGCCCUGCGGCUGCCGCAGGCCCCGAAAAGCAGUGGCGGGCUCGCUGUCACACCGAGCGCAGUAGCGAUUCUCGCUCCGGGCGUCGGCGGCGGGCACCGGCCGUGAAACCCCCCCGCAUCCACAAGGUUGACCUCGGAUCAGGUAGGAAUACCCGCUGAACUUAAGCAUAUCAAUAAGCGGAGGA
rnacentral:misc_RNA from 1 species